rnacentral:lncRNA from 1 species
AUGACGGCGGCCAGAACCCCGGCGGGACGGGGUGGGGCGGGCCCGCGCGUCCCAGUGGGUCUCCGGCGGAGCAAGAGGGGCCAGCAUAGCAGAAGGCGGCUGGCUCUCCGGGACGGUCACAUUCCGCUGCAGGGGCGGGCGGAGGCCGCCGCACUGCCUCCCGCACCGUUGACCCAGGCCAGCGUGGGGCAACGCCCCCUGCUCAGGGACAGAUUCCCCCCGCCGCCCGAGCUCUGGGCGCUCCGCAGACCGCGCCUGCUCCGCCCGCAGCUCGGCCCCGCGCUGCCUGCCUCGCCGGGCCCGCGUCAGGAUGGGGUAGGGACAGCGCCACCGAGUCGGGGAAUGGGCCGCCCUCUGGGCACCGAGCAGCCCCCGGAGGAGCCCCGGCUGGAUGUCAAGCGGAUGCCCCAGUGCCCCGCCAGCAGACUCGGUGGGGACAUGGCUUCGCUAAUGCCCCUUUCCCCAUAUCUAAGCCCCACGGUCCUCCUGUUGGUCAACUGUGACCUGGGUUCGUGCCAGUAGACCGGCCUCCCUCUCCUGUGAAUGUGACGGUCACUCACCUCAGAGCCAACUCGGCCACUGUGUCCUGGGACGUCCCAGAGGGCAACAUCGUCAUUGGCUACUCCAUUUCCCAGCAA